GAAACGCGAUAGUUAAUGUGAAUUGCAGAAUUCAGUGAAUCAUCGAGUCUUUGAACGCACAUUGCGCCCAUAGGUAUUCCUUUGGGCAUGUCUGUUUGAGCGUCAUUACAACCCUCAGCUAACCGCUGGUUUUGAACCUGAACGGGUGACACCGCGCCGGUUUUAAAGUUGUAAGCUCUGCUGGCCGCUCUGCCCAACCAGAACAUAGUAAGCACUACUUGUCCGGGUGGAGCUGAACGGUACGGCCUGAACAAAACCUACCCACUCUCAAGGUUUGACCUCAGAUCAGACAAGGAUACCCGCUGAACUUAAGC
rnacentral:misc_RNA from 1 species